UACGUAGGGGUCUAGCGUUGUCCGGAAUUAUUGGGCGUAAAGAGCUCGUAGGCGGUGUGUCACGUCGGCCGUGAAAACCUGCAGCUUAACUGUGGGCGUGCGGUCGAUACGGGCAUCACUGGAGUUCGGCAGGGGAGACUGGAAUUCCUGGUGUAGCGGUGAAAUGCGCAGAUAUCAGGAGGAACACCGGUGGCGAAGGCGGGUCUCUGGGCCGAUACUGACGCUGAGGAGCGAAAGCGUGGGGAGCGAACAGG
rnacentral:rRNA from 1 species